rnacentral:rRNA from 1 species
AACAGGAUUAGAUACCCUGGUAGUCCACGCCGUAAACGAUGUCGACUUGGAGGCUGUUCCCUUGAGGAGUGGCUUCCGGAGCUAACGCGUUAAGUCGACCGCCUGGGGAGUACGGCCGCAAGGUUAAAACUCAAAUGAAUUGACGGGGGCCCGCACAAGCGGUGGAGCAUGUGGUUUAAUUCGAUGCAACGCGAAGAACCUUACCUACUCUUGACAUCCACGGAAUUUGGCAGAGAUGCCUUAGUGCCUUCGGGAACCGUGAGACAGGUGCUGCAUGGCUGUCGUCAGCUCGUGUUGUGAAAUGUUGGGUUAAGUCCCGCAACGAGCGCAACCCUUAUCCUUUGUUGCCAGCGAUUCGGUCGGGAACUCAAAGGAGACUGCCGGUGAUAAACCGGAGGAAGGUGGGGAUGACGUCAAGUCAUCAUGGCCCUUACGAGUAGGGCUACACACGUGCUACAAUGGCGCAUACAAAGAGAAGCGACCUCGCGAGAGCAAGCGGACCUCAUAAAGUGCGUCGUAGUCCGGAUCGGAGUCUGCAACUCGACUCCGUGAAGUCGGAAUCGCUAGUAAUCGUGGAUCAGAAUGCCACGGUGAAUACGUUCCCGGGCCUUGUACACACCGCCCGUCACACCAUGGGAGUGGGUUGCAAAAGAAGUAGGUAGCUUAACCUUCGGGAGGGCGCUUACCACUUUGUGAUUCAUGACUGGGGUGAAGUCGUAACAAGGUA